ACAUGCAAGUCGAGCGGACAGAUGGGAGCUUGCUCCCUUGAUGUUAGCGGCGGACGGGUGAGUAACACGUGGGUAACCUGCCUGUAAGACUGGGAUAACUCCGGGAAACCGGGGCUAAUACCGGAUGCUUGAUUGAACCGCAUGGUUCAAUUAUAAAAGGUGGCUUUUAGCUACCACUUACAGAUGGACCCGCGGCGCAUUAGCUAGUUGGUGAGGUAACGGCUCACCAAGGCAACGAUGCGUAGCCGACCUGAGAGGGUGAUCGGCCACACUGGGACUGAGACACGGCCCAGACUCCUACGGGAGGCAGCAGUAGGGAAUCUUCCGCAAUGGACGAAAGUCUGACGGAGCAACGCCGCGUGAGUGAUGAAGGUUUUCGGAUCGUAAAACUCUGUUGUUAGGGAAGAACAAGUACCGUUCGAAUAGGGCGGUACCUUGACGGUACCUAACCAGAAAGCCACGGCUAACUACGUGCCAGCAGCCGCGGUAAUACGUAGGUGGCAAGCGUUGUCCGGAAUUAUUGGGCGUAAAGCGCGCGCAGGCGGUUUCUUAAGUCUGAUGUGAAAGCCCCCGGCUCAACCGGGGAGGGUCAUUGGAAACUGGGGAACUUGAGUGCAGAAGAGGAGAGUGGAAUUCCACGUGUAGCGGUGAAAUGCGUAGAGAUGUGGAGGAACACCAGUGGCGAAGGCGACUCUCUGGUCUGUAACUGACGCUGAGGCGCGAAAGCGUGGGGAGCGAACAGGAUUAGAUACCCUGGUAGUCCACGCCGUAAACGAUGAGUGCUAAGUGUUAGAGGGUUUCCGCCCUUUAGUGCUGCAGCAAACGCAUUAAGCACUCCGCCUGGGGAGUACGGUCGCAAGACUGAAACUCAAAGGAAUUGACGGGGGCCCGCACAAGCGGUGGAGCAUGUGGUUUAAUUCGAAGCAACGCGAAGAACCUUACCAGGUCUUGACAUCCUCUGACAACCCUAGAGAUAGGGCUUCCCCUUCGGGGGCAGAGUGACAGGUGGUGCAUGGUUGUCGUCAGCUCGUGUCGUGAGAUGUUGGGUUAAGUCCCGCAACGAGCGCAACCCUUGAUCUUAGUUGCCAGCAUUCAGUUGGGCACUCUAAGGUGACUGCCGGUGACAAACCGGAGGAAGGUGGGGAUGACGUCAAAUCAUCAUGCCCCUUAUGACCUGGGCUACACACGUGCUACAAUGGGCAGAACAAAGGGCAGCGAAGCCGCGAGGCUAAGCCAAUCCCACAAAUCUGUUCUCAGUUCGGAUCGCAGUCUGCAACUCGACUGCGUGAAGCUGGAAUCGCUAGUAAUCGC
rnacentral:rRNA from 1 species